AUUGAACGCUGGCGGCAUGCCUUACACAUGCAAGUCGAACGGCAGCGGACCUUCGGGUGCCGGCGAGUGGCGAACGGGUGAGUAAUGCAUCGGAACGUGCCAUUGAGUGGGGGAUAACGUAGCGAAAGUUGCGCUAAUACCGCAUAUUCUGUGAGCAGGAAAGCAGGGGACCGCAAGGCCUUGCGCUCUUUGAGCGGCCGAUGUCAGAUUAGCUAGUUGGUGAGGUAACGGCUUACCAAGGCGACGAUCUGUAGCGGGUCUGAGAGGAUGAUCCGCCACACUGGAACUGAGACACGGUCCAGACUCCUACGGGAGGCAGCAGUGGGGAAUUUUGGACCAAAUGGGGGCGAACCCUGAUCCAGCCAUGCCGCGU
rnacentral:rRNA from 1 species